AUACAAUGAUGUGAACAUCUUCUCAAUAACUCUUUAUAUCUUUUCCAGGCUUCAUAUAACGAUUCUCCUUCCUACUACACAAAGGAUGUGAUUUCUCCUCUCAGUUU